rnacentral:rRNA from 1 species
UGGGGAAUAUUGGACAAUGGGGGCAACCCUGAUCCAGCCAUGCCGCGUGUGUGAAGAAGGCCUUUUGGUUGUAAAGCACUUUAAGCGGGGAGGAGAGCACCGUGGUUAAUACCCACGAGUGUUGGACGUUACCCGCAGAAUAAGCACCGGCUAACUCUGUG